AGUAGGUAACAGGGUGCGGCCUAAGCCAGGCUUCUUAGUUGUCCUUGGUUCUGAUGAGGUUCAGACUGGGAGGUCCGGUUACCGUACAGCCAUUGACUGAGGCCUGCAGCCUAUGGCAGCCAUUGCGGCUCCGCUUUGCGGCUCGUGCCAUGAAUAAAUAAACUGCGGCGAAUCGACGGAGGACGAGCGGCCUGCACGCUGAAUUGCAUGUUACCGCCCUCUGCUGGAGACAAGGGGAUUGCACUGGACGGGACGCGCGAUCCUAUACCCCGAGUAAAGCGGAUCCAGGCCAAGGUUUUUACAGUAUAUAUAAACACCAGCAAUUUAGAGGUUUCUUAAUUCAAUUCAAGUAAUCAGACACCGUCCACUUUUACACUGCCGCUGGCAGAUAUACAGAAACACCCCCCCCACUCCAUUUCCCCCUCAGCCUGCUUGAGCAUUCCAAACUGCCAAGCAUUACCUUUCUGACUGCCUGUCUUCACCCAGACCUCUGUUUACCUGCAGCCAGCAGAACUGACACAUUUUUACCCCCCUCUGCUCUUCUGUCUCAUCAUCUAGCUGCCCGAUCCUCUGACGUGUCCAGUUGGCCCUUCAGUUACGCAGCCGUUGCCUUCUCCCUGUCUGUCCUGAUCAAGUCAAAAAACAGCCCUUCAGACGUUUGACAUGUUUUGCUCACACAUCAUAUAUUGCUUGUUCACAUGCUGUUAUCAUUAAGAGCCACGAAUAAGAUGUGAACAUCAGUUUAUUAUUAUUACAAGUGGUAAAAAAGAGUGUCUGUAUUAAUGCAGGCAUACCAAUGUGCACAUUUAAGUUAUCUCCUGUAGUUACACAACAGCCCUAUUCAAAAGGCCUUUUAUAACACAUGCGGAAUGUAUGUACUUUUCCCCGUUUGUUUUUACCGAAAGGCUUAAAUCAAUACGGUUCGGUUUUCUAUUGACGGAGCCGAUAAAAACUGCUGUUGCUGAAUGGAUAACGAGCAGUUCAUUUGCGGAACUGUGAAAGAAACAUUUAGAUUCCUGAUCUGAUCAUCUCACUCUCAAGUAAACCCACAUCCAGGGCUAUGUCCGGCAUUCAUUCUGUCUAGUCAUUCAGCCUGGGGGGGAAGUGUCGAAGUCAGCCAAUAGCAUCCAGGGCUGGAUUCCCAUGUGAUCCCUUGACCAAUAGGAACAAGCCCUCAUUGUUUCUGAGAGGCCCAGUACAGGCAGUGGAGCAGAGAAAGAAAAACUGGCUAAUGGAGCAUCACUGAAAUUUUUGCCGCACAAAAAAGCAGACAGAGUGACUGACUGACUGAACAGAAAGUACGCUUGAAUUUAGAUUCAGAAAACCUUAUUUUUGAUAACUAGAUGAGAUUUAAGAUGUCUUAAAUGAUGUAAAGGGAAACAGAAAAAAUAAGACUGGAGUAAAAUAUGCCUCGCUUUUGAACAGUGGGAUAAAUUAUGUGCAAUUUCACACAGAGUAACUAUCACUGUCUAUUUUAUAUUCAACCUAAACAACAUUUUUGUAAAUUCUUUAACUAUAUCAUUUUUGUUAAAUUCCCCCUGAAACAAUGACAAAAUAUGUAGUCAUCAGACACACUUUAUUUGUAAAAACACUGUUUAACGGCCUCAUUUGUACAUUACAGCCAAGUAGCUUUUGUUUCAUCGUCAAACUUAACAAAAAUACAGAAUAAACCUAGAAAAAGAAGUAAUUCCACACACACACACUAAUCAUCUGAAAGAGGCUAAACAUGGCCAAAGGGCAAAGUAGAUGCUGAUUUUUCACACACAAUAUCAGAACACAAAAAGAGGCAACAGGAAAUUUAUUCAGUUUCAAACAUGACAAUUCUUGGGAAUAAUAACUGAGCCUGCUGUGGUCUUUAUAAAAUCUUAAAUGAGUUCUUGUCUAAAUGUUUGUGGAUUUAAUGCCGCUUAAAAGAGCAUUCAAUCACUAUGUGUGUCACAGAAUGCAGAAAAAUCACAUUUCAUUUUUGGUCAUUUUUUUAAGUUUGUUGGGGAAAUUCUGUUCAAUGUAAGCAUACUAACCAUGUGGAUUUAACCUCCCAUCGGAAAUGAUAUCUUCCCAAGACUACCGUGAAAUUGCUAUCAAGUUUGGAUGAAAUCCAAAGUUCUGUUCUUCCCUCCAUUUCUUUAAAUGUCAGCCAAUCAGUUUUCCAUCCGACUGAAUUUUUGAGACACAAAGGGAAUAGGUCCAUUAGUUGUGUUAAUUUGAGAUCUUUAACCAAAGCUAAUAAUGUGAUGACAGAAAUAAA